CAGCAGCCACGGGAAUACGAAGGGUGCAAGCGUUAAUCGGAAUUACUGGGCGUAAAGCGUGCGUAGGCGGUUUGUUAAGUCUGCUGUGAAAUCCCCGGGCUCAACCUGGGAAUGGCAGUGGAUACUGGCAAGCUAGAGUGUGUCAGAGGAUGGUGGAAUUCCCGGUGUAGCGGUGAAAUGCGUAGAGAUCGGGAGGAACAUCAGUGGCGAAGGCGGCCAUCUGGGACAACACUGACGCUGAGGCACGAAAGCGUGGGGAGCAAACAGGAUUAGAUACCCGGGUAGUCCCUGUCUCUUAUAC
rnacentral:rRNA from 1 species